AUCAAACUUCGUGAUAGCUGGUUCUCUCCGAAAUAUAUUUAGGUAUAGCGUUGUGUCGUAAUAUAAGGGGGUAGAGCACUGAAUGGGCUAGGGCAUACACCAAUGUACCAAACCCUAUCAAACUCCGAAUACCUUAUAUGUAAUCACAGCAGUCAGGCGGCGAGUGAUAAAAUCCGUCGUCAAGAGGGAAACAACCCAGACUACCAGCUAAGGUCCCUAAAUCUUACUUAAGUGGAAAACGAUGUGAAGUUACUUAAACAACCAGGAGGUUGGCUUAGAAGCAGCCAUCCUUUAAAGAAAGCGUAAUAGCUCACUGGUCUAGUGAUUUUGCGCGGAAAAUAUAACGGGGCUAAAGUAAGUACCGAAGCUGUAGACUUGCGCACAACUUAGAUUAUUUAAGUUUAGAAUAUGAGAAACUAAGUUAUAUUUUUACUGAUUUUUAUAGAGUAAAGAUAGAAAUAAAACUUAGUAAAAUCAGUAAAAAUAUUCUUAGGCUAAAGUUAAGUAGUUUAAGUUGUGUGCAAGUGGUAGGAGAGCGUUCUAUUUGCGUCGAAGGUAUACCGGUAAGGAGUGCUGGAGCGAAUAGAAGUGAGCAUGCAGGCAUGAGUAGCGAUAAUUAAUGUGAGAAUCAUUAACGCCGUAAACCCAAGGUUUCCUACGCGAUGCUCGUCAUCGUAGGGUUAGUCGGGUCCUAAGUCGAGUCCGAAAGGGGUAGACGAUGGCAAAUUGGUUAAUAUUCCAAUACCAACAUUAGUGUGCGAUGGAAGGACGCUUAGGGCUAAGGGGGCUAGCGGAUGGAAGUGCUAGUCUAAGGUCGUAGGAGGUUAUACAGGCAAAUCCGUAUAACAAUACUCCGAGAACUGAAAGGCUUUUUGAAGUCUUCGGAUGGAUAGAAGAACCCCUGAUGCCGUCGAGCCAAGAAAAGUUUCUAAGUUUAGCUAAUGUUGCCCGUACCGUAAACCGACACAGGUGGGUGGGAUGAGUAUUCUAAGGCGCGUGGAAGAACUCUCUUUAAGGAACUCUGCAAAAUAGCACCGUAUCUUCGGUAUAAGGUGUGGUUAGCUUCGUACUAGGAUUUACUCCGAAAGCGAAGAAACUUACAACAAAGAGUCCCUCCCGACUGUUUACCAAAAACACAGCACUCUGCUAACUCGUAAGAGGAUGUAUAGGGUGUGACGCCUGCCCGGUGCUCGAAGGUUAAUUGAUGGGGUUAGCAUUAGCGAAGCUCUUGAUCGAAGCCCGAGUAAACGGCGGCCGUAACUAUAACGGUCCUAAGGUAGCGAAAUUCCUUGUCGGUUAAAUACCGACCUGCAUGAAUGGCGUAACGAGAUGGGAGCUGUCUCAAAGAGGGAUCCAGUGAAAUUGUAGUGGAGGUGAAAAUUCCUCCUACCCGCGGCAAGACGGAAAGACCCCGUGGACCUU
rnacentral:rRNA from 1 species